rnacentral:rRNA from 2 species
GGCCUUUUGGGUAUAAUUUAAGGUCUGACCUGCCCAGUGAUGAAUUUAACGGCCGCGGUAUACUGACCGUGCAAAGGUAGCAUAAUCAUUAGUCUUUUAAUAGAGGGCUGGAAUGAACGGUUUAACGAGGAACUGACUGUCUCAUUUUAUUUGUUUUAAAAUUUAAUUUUUUAGUUAAAAAGCUAAAAUUUUAUUGGAAGACGAGAAGACCCUAUAGAUCUUUAUACAAUUUUUGUAUUUAUUAACAUACUUAUAUUAAAAUUGUAUUUUGUUGGGGUGACGAAAAUAUAUAAUUAACUUUUUUAUUUAUUUACCAUUGAUAUAUGAGUAUUAGAUCCAUUACUAGUGAUUGUUAGAAUAAGUUACCUUAGGGAUAACAGCGUAAUCCUCCUCCAGAGUUCAUAUUUACAGGAGGGCUUGCGACCUCGAUGUUGGAUUAAGAUAAUAAUUAGGUGUAGCCGCUUAAUUUAUAGGUCUGUUCGACCUUUAAAUUCUU